UCCUAUGAUGGUAUGAAAUCUUUGAGACCUGAUCCUAUUUGAUGAAAAGCAUAAGCAUUUAUUUCUGAGGAU
rnacentral:snoRNA from 1 species